GUCGGAGGGGCCAGGCAGCUCCAGGUCGAACUCCAGAGGAACUCCAUACUAAACCCUUAUCAGAAGGAGUUCAUCCAGAGUCAGGGAGCAUGGGAUGGUGCCCGGUGUAAAAAUCGGGCGAGGCCCAGCCCCAGAUGCGGGUUCGUCUACAGAACGAGGGACCUGGGGGGUUGAGGUGGAAGAACUCCCGAAACUGCUG
rnacentral:lncRNA from 1 species